CAGGUAACAGGAUGUUAGGGCACGAUACUGGAGAGGGAGCCUGAGAAAUAGCUACCACAUCCAAGGAAGGCAGCAGGUGCGCAAAUUACCCAAUUCUGAUACGGGAAGGUAGUGACAAUACAGGGUUCUUUUGGAUCUUAUAAUUAGAAUGAGUACAAUUUAAAUCUCUUAACGAGGAACAAUUGGAGGGCAAGUCUGCUACGGUAAUUCCAGCUCUAAUAACGUAUAUUAAAGUUGUUGCAGUAAAAAGCUCGUAGUUGAAUUUUGGGAUCAAUGUUUCAGUCAUGCCGUUUGUAUGUACUGAUAUUAUUAGUUCUCACCUUCUAAAGAAUUGUAAUGCCAUUAAUUUAGUAUCAUAGGGAAUUAGGACUGUUACCUUGAAAAAAUUAGAGUAUUUAAAGCAGGCUCACGCUUGAAUACAUUAGCAUGGAAUAAUGAAAUAGGACAUCUGAUUCUAUUAUGUUGGUUUUUAGGAUCGAUGUAAUGAUUAAUAGGAAUAGUUGGGGGCAUUAGUAUUCAAUUGUCAGAGGUGAAAUUCUUGGAUUUAUUGAAGACUAACUACUGCGAAAGCAUUUGCUAAGGAUGUUUUCAUUAAUCAAGAAUGAAAGUUAGGGGAUCGAAGAUGAUCAGAUACCAUCAUAGUCUUAACCAUAAACUAUGCCAACUAGGGAUCGGAUGAUGUUAAUUUUUUAAUGACUUAUUCAGCGCCUUACGG
rnacentral:rRNA from 1 species